rnacentral:lncRNA from 1 species
ACUUAAUAGAAUUAGUUGAAGUAUAUAAGAAAUAAAGUGGAAAGACUUUUGUUUGAUGGCCUUCAUAUUGGUCAGGAGUCUACUGGUAAACCACAUAAUCCACUCUGCUACUCUCUGAGGAGAAAUAAUGUGACCAAUGAUAUUGUUUGGCUCACAGAAUCUCUAGGAGGGUUCCAGAGCCGAGCCAUGAAGCUCCACAGCCAGGAACAGUUCCACCACACCACGGGGCCCAUUCUGGAAUCUCAAACACAAAAUGACAGAGACCAAACUCAUCAUUUUUCACCCUAAAGGUGACUUUUGUUAAUGACAUUGCUGCAAUUAAUAUUGUUAAUGUGAGUUUUGUUAAUGACAUCAGUGCAGUCACUAUUAGUGCAGCUGAACUGUCAUGAAGGCUUGGAGUUAUCUCAUCAUAAUACAGUGGAUUCACUGAGAGGCUGGUUAAUCCAUUUCAUCCCCUAUCUACCCUGUCAUCGGACACUUUCAGGCUGAUACAUCUGCCAUUGAUUUUCUUAUAAUUCUACCUGGACUGUUUUUCUCCCGGAUUCUGCCUGUUUUCUAAGUUUUCUUUGUUUUUUUUGUUUUCUUUUCAAACAUCAGUUCUUCCAGGAAGCUUUUCAUCAUCUCCAGAGGCAGAAUCAUCGGCCUCUCUGUGACCUCACACAACCCUGUUCUUGAUCAUGGAGCAUGCACCAAGGAAAAAGCCAAGUGAGCACACAGUGGGAUGGCGGCUGUCUGCAGCCCCCCUGGAAGAGGAUCCUCACCAGAACCCACCAUGUUGGCACCCUGACCUUGGACUUCCAGUCUCCAGAAUUAUGAGAAAAUAAACAUCUGUUGUUUAAGCCACUCAGUCUGCAGUGUUUUGUUAUGGCAUCUUAAGGUAAGACAUUAUUCAUGAACUUCUAGUAGGGCUAGGUGGCAGUUGAGGGAGAAGAAUUCUAAUCUAAUGUCACUAGAGAUAUGACUAAAUAAAUUCACUAUCUUGAGUUAUUUCAUAAAACUUGAUGAGAUUGGGAAGUACAUAUUAUUGCCAACCUACAGCUGCAUAAGCUGUUGGUCAGAAUCUAUAUGAUAUGAUUACAUCAGGAUAGAACUCAGGCAACUUAGUCUAGAACUCUGUCUUCUGCAUUCUUGAGGCCACUUCACAUGUUUUGAUUGACUGUGGACAGAGGAGCUGUUCUAGAGAUUUUAAGAGUAGGCUAGCUGUUGGGAAGGAAUUGUUUGUCAAGUGUCCCUAGUCCCUGCUCUCACAUACUGUAAAUAAUCCACUCAUAUUGUUCUAGGCAUUCCUUGCAAGUUUUAGGUUGAGCCAU